rnacentral:rRNA from 1 species
UAACCUGCCCAAGAGAUCGGGAUAACACCUGGAAACAGAUGCUAAUACCGGAUAACAACAGAUGAUGCCUAUCAACUGUUUAAAAGAUGGUUCUGCUAUCACUCUUGGAUGGACCUGCGGUGCAUUAGCUAGUUGGUAGGGUAACGGCCUACCAAGGCGAUGAUGCAUAGCCAGUUGAGAGACUGAUCGGCCACAUUGGGACUGAGACACGGCCCAAACUCCUACGGGAGGCAGCAGUC